rnacentral:rRNA from 1 species
UACAGAGGGUGCAAGCGUUGUUCGGAAUUAUUGGGCGUAAAGCGCGUGUAGGCGGCUUUGCAAGUCGGGUGUGAAAGCCCUCGGCUCAACCGAGGAAGUGCGCCCGAAACUGCAGAGCUUGAGUACCGGAGAGGAUGGCGGAAUUCCCCAAGUAGAGGUGAAAUUCGUAGAUAUGGGGAGGAACACCGGUGGCGAAGGCGGCCAUCUGGACGGAUACUGACGCUGAGACGCGAAAGCGUGGGGAGCAAACAGGAUUAGAUACCCUGGUAGUCCACGCCGUAAACGAUGAGAACUAGGUGUCGUGGGUGUUGACCCCCGCGGUGCCGUAGCCAACGCAUUAAGUUCUCCGCCUGGGAAGUACGGCCGCAAGGCUAAA